GACAGAGGUGGCAAGCGUUGCUCGGAUUCACUGGGCUUAAAGGGCGCGUAGGUGGUCUUGUAAGUCAAAGGUGGAAUUCCACAGCUUAACUGUGGAACUGCCUUUGAUACUGCAAGGCUUGAGUCAGGUAGAGGAGGGCGGAAUUCCCGGUGUAGCGGUGAAAUGCGUAGAUAUCGGGAGGAAGGCCGGUGGCGAAGGCGGCCCUCUGGGCCUGUACUGACGCUCAUGCACGAAAGCGUGGGGAGCAAACAGG
rnacentral:rRNA from 1 species